AUUGAACGCUGGCGGCAUGCUUUACACAUGCAAGUCGAACGGUAACAGGCCGCAAGGUGCUGACGAGUGGCGAACGGGUGAGUAAUGCAUCGGAACGUGCCCAGUCGUGGGGGAUAACUACUCGAAAGAGUAGCUAAUACCGCAUACGAUCUAUGGAUGAAAGCGGGGGACCGUAAGGCCUCGCGCGAUUGGAGCGGCCGAUGUCAGAUUAGGUAGUUGGUGGGGUAAAGGCUCACCAAGCCAACGAUCUGUAGCUGGUCUGAGAGGACAACCAGCCACACUGGGACUGAGACACGGCCCAGACUCCUACGGGAGGCAGCAGUGGGGAAUUUUGGACAAUGGGCGCAAGCCUGAUCCAGCAAUGCCGCGUGCAGGAAGUAGGCCUUCGGGUUGUAAACUGCUUUUGUACGGAACGAAACGGCUCUGGUUAAUACCCGGGGCUAAUGACGGUACCGUAAGAAUAAGCACCGGCUAACUACGUG
rnacentral:rRNA from 1 species